UACGUAGGGGGCAAGCGUUGUCCGGAUUUAUUGGGCGUAAAGAGCGUGUAGGCGGCCAAGCAGGUCAGCUGUGAAAACUCGAGGCUCAACCUCGAGACGUCGGUUGAAACCGCUUGGCUAGAGUCCGGAAGAGGAGAGUGGAAUUCCCGGUGUAGCGGUGAAAUGCGCAGAUAUCAGGAGGAACACCCGUAGCGAAGGCGGCACUCUGGGCCGAUACUGACACUGAGGAGCGAAAGCGUGGGGAGCGAACAGG
rnacentral:rRNA from 1 species